AACGAACGCUGGCGGCAUGCCUAACACAUGCAAGUCGAACGAGACCUUCGGGUCUAGUGGCGCACGGGUGCGUAACGCGUGGGAACCUGCCCUUAGGUUCGGAAUAACUCCCCGAAAGGGGUGCUAAUACCGGAUAAUGUCUUCGGACCAAAGAUUUAUCGCCUUUGGAUGGGCCCGCGUUGGAUUAGCUAGUUGGAAGGGUAAAAGCCUACCAAGGCGACGAUCCAUAGCUGGUCUGAGAGGAUGAUUAGCCACACUGGGACUGAGACACGGCCCAGACUCCUACGGGAGGCAGCAGUGGGGAAUAUUGGAAAAUGGGCGAAAGCCUGAUCCAGCAAUGCCGCGUGAGUGAUGAAGGCCUUAGGGUUGUAAAGCUCUUUUACCCGGGAUGAUAAUGACAGUACCGGGAGAAUAAGCUCCGGCUAACUCCGUG
rnacentral:rRNA from 1 species